UGUGAGGAUGGGGAGCUGCCGCUGCAUCCCCUGCUUUGGAGCUGUCAGAGGCACCGCUGAGCGCUCCAGGUGGGAUCCACGCCAAGCAUCCUCCGGGACGGGCAGGGAUGGAGCUCUGGCCGGGUGGGGACCAGGCAGAGCAGCCCAAGCAGCCAGAAUUCAGACCACUUCACAAUUGUCUGCACUUCCUUUGGGAAGAAACUUCAUUUCCAGAGAGGGAAAAGAAGAUUCUAAUCACUAUGCUCACCUUGGAGUGCUGAGGAUAUUUCCAAUCACCUGAGCCACUGGAAACAUUUGGCAACUUGAAAAUCAAGGCUGGUGGCCUGGGGUGGAUUCCAUAGUGUGUGGAAAGAUCAGGGUCCAGUGAAAGUCUUUUCCAGCCUGAAGAGUUCUGAGAUUCUAUAAAUGCAUGUGGGACUCAGCUGCCCCUGGCUAACCACAGCUCUCUGAAACUUUCAUCAAGGGCUGGUGCUACUGCAAAAUUUAGUGCCAAAGCCAACAGCAGGAAUUGUGGGGUCACUGGGGUGGAUGGGCACCUGCUGACAGGGAGGGGGUGCUUAAUCCUAAAGCUUUUUCCAUGGGGCACCUUUGGAUAUGUGACAGCUACAGAGAGAACCUGUAUUACAUUACAGUAAUGUAAUUUAUAUUGUAUUCAACCAAUAAAAGAGAUAUAAGAAUAAGAAACUCUACAAAUGAACAUUAA